CCUACGGGAGGCAGCAGUAAGGAAUAUUGGACAAUGCUCGCAAGAGUGAUCCAGCCAUGCCGCGUGCAGGAAGAAUGCCCUAUGGGUAGUAAACUGCUUUUGAACUAGAGAAAACCCCAGUACGUGUACUGGGCUGAUAGUAUAGUUAGAAUAAGCAUCGGCUAACUUCGUGCCAGCAGCCGCGGUAAGACGAAGGAUGCAAGCGUUAUCCGGAUUCAUUGGGUUUAAAGGGAGCGUAGGUGGACUGAUAAGUCAGUGGUGAAAUCUCCGAGCUUAACUCGGAAAUUGCCAUUGAUACUGUUGGUCUUGAGUACAGUUGCUGUGGGCGGAAUAUGACAUGUAGUGGUGAAAUACAUAGAGAUGUCAUAGAACACCGAUUGCGAAGGCAGCUCACAAAGCUGUAACUGACACUGAGGCUCGAAAGUGCGGGGAUCAAACAGGAUUAGAUACCCUGGUAGUCCGCACCGUAAACGAUGAUUACUCGCUGCUAGGGGGCAACCUUUAGUGGCUUAGCGAAAGCGAUAAGUAAUCCACCUGGGAGUACGCCGGCACGGUGAACGUCGAAAUGAAUUGAGGCGNGAGAGNGCGACGGACGACGACGAGGGAGGAGG
rnacentral:rRNA from 1 species